rnacentral:rRNA from 1 species
GAUGAACGCUGGCGGCGUGCCUAAUACAUGCAAGUCGAGCGAAAAGAUCAGGAACUUUCGCCUCUGACGUUAGCGACGGACGGGUGAGUAACUCGUGCGUAACCUACCUAUCAGACUCGGAUAACUUCGGGAACCCGGAGCGACUUCCUGACAAAUUAUUUAAUCGCAUGGUACAAUAGUGAAAGACGAUUUUGCAUUCGCUUAUAGAUGGGUCCGGGCUGCUUAAGCUAUUUGGUGAGGUAACGGCUUACCAAGGCAACGACGCGUAGCGGACCUGAGAGGGGGAUCAGCCACACUGGAACUGAGCAGCGGUCCAGACUCCUACGGGAGGCAGCGGUAGGGAAUGUACCGCAAGGGGAGAAAGCCGGACGGGACAAAGCCGCGUGAGUGAUGAAGGUCUUCGGAUCGUAAAACUCUGUUGUUAGGGAAGAACAAUUGUGUAAGUAACUAUGCACGUCUUGACGGUACCUAAUCAGAAAGCCACGGCUAACUACGUG